CUUGGAGUCCGAACUCUCACUUUCUAACCCUGUGCACUUGUUUGGGAUAGUAACUCUCGCAAGAGAGCGAACUCCUAUUCACUUAUAAACACAAAGUCUAUGAAUGUAUUAAAUUUUAUAACAAAAUAAAACUUUCAACAACGGAUCUCUUGGCUCUCGCAUCGAUGAAGAACGCAUCGAAAUGCGAUAAGUAAUGUGAAUUGCAGAAUUCAGUGAAUCAUCGAAUCUUUGAACGCACCUUGCGCUCCAUGGUAUUCCGUGGAGCAUGCCUGUUUGAGUGUCAUGAAUACUUCAACCCUCCUCUUUCUUAAUGAUUGAAGAGGUGUUUGGUUUCUGAGCGCUGCUGGCCUUUACGGUCUAGCUCGUUCGUAAUGCAUUAGCAUCCGCAAUCGAACUUCGGAUUGACUUGGCGUAAUAGACUAUUCGCUGAGGAAUUCUAGUCUUCGGACUAGAGCCGGGUUGGGUUAAAGGAAGCUUCUAAUCAGAAUGUCUACAUUUUAAGAUUAGAUCUCAAAUCAGGUAGGACUACCCGCUGAACUUAAGCAUAUCAAUAAGGCGGAGGAG
rnacentral:rRNA from 1 species